rnacentral:rRNA from 1 species
GACGAACCGUGCGAACGUUGUUCGGAAUCACUGGGCUUAAAGGGCGCGUAGGCGGGCCACCAAGUCCGCGGUGAAAUCCCCCGGCUCAACCGGGGAAGUGCCGCGGAUACUGGGGGCCUCGAGGGAGGUAGGGGCGUGCGGAACACUGGGUGGAGCGGUGAAAUGCGUUGAUAUCCAGUGGAACUCCGGUGGCGAAGGCGGCACGCUGGACCUCAUCUGACGCUGAGGCGCGAAAGCCCAGGGAGGCGAACGGG